CGAGUAGGCGGUUCUGCAAGUCAGAUGUGAAAGGCGGGGGCUCAACCCCCGAGCUGCAUUUGAAACUGUAGGACUUGAGUGAUGGAGAGGCAGGCGGAAUUCCCGGUGUAGCGGUGGAAUGCGUAGAGAUCGGGAGGAACACCAGUGGCGAAGGCGGCCUGCUGGACAUUAACUGACGCUGAGGAGCGAAAGCGUGGGGAGCAAACA
rnacentral:rRNA from 1 species